UACCAGCACCCCGAGUGGUCGGGACGAUUAUUGGGCCUAAAGCAUCCGUAGCCGGUUCUACAAGUCUUCCGUUAAAUCCACCUGCUCAACAGUUGGGCUGCGGAGGAUACUAUAGAGCUAGGAGGCGGGAGGGGCAAGCGGUACUCAGUGGGUAGGGGUAAAAUCCGUUGAUCCAUUGAAGACCACCAGUGGCGAAGGCGGCUUGCCAGAACGCACUCGACGGUGAGGGAUGAAAGCUGGGGGAGCAAACCGG
rnacentral:rRNA from 1 species